rnacentral:rRNA from 1 species
AGGACGAACGCUGGCGGCGUGCUUAACACAUGCAAGUCGAGCGGAAAGGCCCUUCGGGGUACUCGAGCGGCGAACGGGUGAGUAACACGUGAGCAACCUGCCCUUAGCUUCGGGAUAGCUCCGGGAAACCGGAAUUAAUACCGAAUAUGACUUUGGCUGACAUCAGCAGAAGUGGAAAGUUUUUCGGCUAGGGAUGGACUCGCGGCCUAUCAGCUAGUUGGUGAGGUAACGGCCCACCAAGGCGACGACGGGUAGCCGGCCUGAGAGGGCGACCGGCCACACUGGGACUGAGACACGGCCCAGACUCCUACGGGAGGCAGCAGUGGGGAAUAUUGCGCAAUGGGCGAAGGCCUGACGCAGCGACGCCGCGUGGGGGAAGAAGGCCUUCGGGUCGUAAACCACUGUCGAAGGGGAAGAUAUUGACGGUACCCUUGGAGGAAGCCCCGGCUAACUACGUGCCAGCAGCCGC